UACGGAGGGUGCAAGCAUUAAUCGGAUUUACUGGGCGUAAAGGGCGCGUAGGCGGGUCUACAAGUCAAAUGUGAAAUUCCGGAGCUCAACUUCGGAGCGGCAUUUGAAACUGUAGGUCUAUAGAGGGAUGGCGGAGAAAAUGGAAUUCCACAUGUAGCGGUGAAAUGCGUAGAUAUGUGGAAGAACACCAGUGGCGAAAGCGGUUUCUAGCUAUUACCUGACGCUGAGGCGCGAGAGCAUGGGGAGCAAACAGG
rnacentral:rRNA from 1 species